rnacentral:lncRNA from 1 species
UUGUUCAUUGCCUACUGCGCAAAUUUCCUCUGUAGAUACUCCAUGGCUAGGACAAAUAGAUAGGGAGACAUGAGGUCCGUCUGCCUGAUCUCCAUCCUUCCUUUGAAAGGCGUUGUCAAUCCACCAUUCGUGGUAAGAGUGUAGGUCACUAUUGUAAUGAAUUCAUUACCGAGCUGAGAAAUUUUCGAGUAAAACCAAGUUCUUUCAGUAUUCUUUCUGAAGAAAACCAAUCUAGAGUAUCAUGUGCUUUCCUCAAAUCCACCUUUAGUACACAUCUUAGAAAAAUUCCUUUCCUAUUAUAGCCUUUGAACAGUUCAUGUGUAAAUUGGAUAUUG